GUGUCAGGUCUUGGGUCACGAUAUUUGUCCUUGUUGUGCAACCCGUUAAUCUUUUUUUUUAAUAAUAUGAAUUAGUAAUUUUGUUUUUUUUAUUUUGUAUAGGUUCUAUACAAUUAGAUGAUUCAGGAAGUAAGUUUAUUUUGAUUAAUAAACAACAAAUUCUUUAAAAGAAAGUUAAUUUACAAAGAUAUUAACGUUAACGCCGUUAACGCCGUACAAGAUUGGCUAUAGUAUAAGAUUUUAUGAUAAUAUUGAAGUAGCCAUUCCCCUAUGAUAUUUGAUCUCUAGUUGUCAUUUUUGGACAAGUAUUGAAUGUAUAAUGCAUAUAACCUAUAUUUUGACUAUGCUAUUCACGGCUUGAAACAUUUAUAUUUUAACUAAAUUGGUUUUUGUAACCUACAUAGUUAUUAGAAAGAUAUGAAUACUGAUUGUUUUUUUUUUUUUUAAAUAUUAUUUCACUUAUAAAUACAUAGUUUUAUUCAGAAAUGUAUAAUAUCAUAAUGAAUUAUUUCUGAUACAUAAAUUAUAAAAAUAUAUAUUAUUUUUUUUUUUGUUUUUCGUAUACUCUAGUAAUGUAUUUCAAAGGUAUCGUUUAUAUUUUUUUAAAUAUAUUUUUGAUAGUAAUAGUUUCAGUAUAGAUACUGUGUGACAUUUAGUAUACCUAUUGAAUGUUAAUUUGCUUUUGUAGAUAAAAUGAACUCUAAAUAUUUUGUAGCAGAAAAAAAAAAAAAUUUUAAAUAAUGACGAUUUUGGGUUGGGUGUAUCUCUUUUGUAGGUGGAAAGUCGAGAAGAAUUUUUUAUUAUACUCUUUGUUUAGUUAUUAUAAUAAUAUAAACUAUGAAUAAUAUAAAUUAAUAUCUACUGAUUAUUUAUUACUUCUUAUAAUAGAGGACAGUCCAUAAGCAACAAAUGUUUCGCAAAUCGUGGUAAGUACACUUUGAAUAGAUUAUUUUUUUUAAAAAAAACAAAGGUUUUAGAGGUCUUAACACGAACNUUUGUAGGUGGAAAGUUGAGAAGAAUUUUUUAUUAUACUCUUUGUUUAGUUAUUAUAAUAAUAUAAACUAUGAAUAAUAUAAAUUAAUAUCUACUGAUUAUUUAUUACUUCUUAUAAUAGAGGACAGUCCAUAAGCAACAAAUGUUUCGUAAAUCGUGGUAAGUACACUUUAAAUAGAUUAUUAUUUUUAAAAAAAACAAAGGUUUUAGGGGCCUAAACACAAACAAAUUAAUCGCUUUUUUGAGAACUACUGUCUAUUGAUGAUUUUUUAAAACCGAAACCUGUAGUAAACACGCAAGUAGUAGAAAAAUGGGGUACCUCGCACUGACAGAUAUUUUCAGUUUUAAAAACUAAUUUCAGAUCUCAAUUUACAUUGUUUUCUUAUUGUUCUCUGUUCACAUAAUUAUAUUAAAAGAAUAUUUGUAAUGUUAUAACUUUCGAAAUAGGAAGUCCUGAUAGUUUUAUCAAUAAUAAACGUCCAAAAUAUCAAGAUAUCACAUCAAGAUUUUCCCAUAUUAGGUGUGUAUCUCACACCUAAUAAAUUUAAAAAUGCAACACCAAAGUACGUAUUAAAUCUUACUAGACGACCGGACAAUGUUAGUGGAAAUAGAUAUAAUAUUAUUUUGAAUGCAAAAUUUAAUGAGGAUGUACCAAAUUGUACAAUUCGAUAUAUUAGUUUAGUUUCAACUUCUGAAUUUACAUACAAUAUUUUUAAUAAUGCAAUUAAAAUAUCUAAUAAUAAAAAUAUUUUUCAAUAGAAAUAUUGAAUUAAGAAAAAGAAUGGGUUUAUUAUGUUAAUAAAUAUGGAUAAAGAAUUUUUAUGACCAAUAUACUGUCACAAAUGCAAAAGAAAACUAAAAUUUUAAACCAAUCAAGGUUUAAAUAACAAUUGGAUUUCGGAAAAUUUCAACACAAUGUUUAAAAUAUAAAACAAACUAAAGUAAAUUUAUUAAAUCACCUUUAGGAAAAGAAACAAUAUCUAAAAUAAAAUACGAAAAAAUAUCAGAACAAGAUAAUCUAAGUAAUGCAAAAGGACUUCAUAAAAUAGUAAGAUCCCAAUUUACAAAAAGGAGAAUAAAUACACAAGGUAUCGAUAAAUUAUGGGCUGUUAUAGAUACUUUUUCAAAAUUUGCAUGGGCUGAACCUCCUAAAAAGAAAGAUGGGAAAAAUGUUACAAAAUCUUUUGAAGAAAUAAUAAAAAGAGCGAAAUUACAGGAACACAAUUCUCCAAUAUUACUUUACACUAAAAAAAGAACAGACUUUGUAAACAAACAGUUUAUAGAAUGUUAAUAAAAUACAUCAUAAAAUUAUAUUAUAUACAAAAUUAUGAGAAUUCUGCAAUUAUUAAAUGUUUCAACAGAAAUUUAAAUGCUAAAAUGAGUAAUACAGUUUGAAUUUCAAAAAAAUAAAAGAUUCAUUGAUAUUUUACAAAAUUUGUUAAACGAAAAUAAUUUCAAAGAUAUUCAUCGAUCAAUUUGAAUGAUACCAUUCAAAGUAAACAAAUAUAAUUAAGAAAAAGUUUUUAACUAAAUUAUUCCUUAAUGAAACAUCCAAUGAAGAUGUAUUUUGGGCUAAGGAUUCUGAUUGGCUAUUCAACCAGGUUAUAAAUAUGUAUAGUUAUAAAUUACUUAAUGGAGCAUCAUGUAUUAAAUUAUCAAAAAAGAUAUCUGAUAUAAAAGCUAUUACCAAUAUUGCGAAUAAAGUUGAUAAAUAUUUUCUUUAGUCAAUUUUUGCCACUUUACAGUGACAAAAGAUGCAAACAGGGUUAGUAAUUAUUAUAAAUGAGAAAAUUAAUUAACUAUAUUAAAUGAACAGAUACAGAUUCUUUAUUAGUAAAAAUUAUAACUGAUGACUUUUAUACAGAUGUAAUUAAUAAUGAACAAUUUUAAAUGAAUUUGAUUUUUCAGAUUAUCUUGGAUUAAGAUCUAAUUUAUAUAUAUUUAAAGUAUUUAAAAACGUAAAUGAAAUUAAGAAGGCGAAAGGUGUUAAAAAACCCAUAGUUAAAAUUAAUUAUGUUUCAAUGAUUUUUAAAAUUGUUAAAAAUAAAAUUCCACAACAUGUAAAACAUAACACUUUUAGAACAGAUAAACAUAAUAUUUAUUGUUGAACAAAACAAUAAAGCUCUGAUGCAUCUGAUGCAUCUGAUGAUAAAAGACAUAUUCUGAAAAAUGGUAUUGAUACAGUAUCUUGGGAAAAUUAUUCAACAACAGAAAAAGAAAGAGAAAAUUUCUAAGAUCACCUUAAUAAUUUAAUAAAAACAAAUAUUAAAAAAGAAUAAUAAUUUUAAUAUAAGUUAUUUUUGAGAAAGGAUCUAUUGCACGCACGAUGCUUAAUUUAUUAUAUAUUUUUUUUUUUUUUUUUAAGAAAACUGUUUUAGCACAAUGUUUAUGUGAAAAUAGUUUUUCUAAGCUCUUUAAAAAUAAUAAAUAUAUACUUCUCUUUUUGUGAUACAAUUUUUUUUAAUAUUAUUAAUGUAAGUUUUUUAAAUUUUUAUUUUAAUUUAAUUAUUUUAAAUGUAUUUUUUUUUAAAUUUUUUUUUCAUAUAAUUGUGUGAACUAAUAAUAAUAAGGAAACAAGAUGAACAGAGAUCUGAAAUUAUAUUUUCAAAGUAAAAAUAUUUGGCUUCUCCAGGAUCCUCAUUUUUCUACAACACACACAACAAUAUAUAAUAUUAUAGGCUUUUUGUUGAUAAUUUAGAUUAUCUGUUUAGAUAAAAUGUUUGUGCUGUUUAUAUAAUAUUAUCAUAAUCCUGAUAAUAUUAAAAUAACUUAACAGUGGCAUAUAUAGGAAGGGGCACAGUGGGCCAUAAGCCCACCUCGUAUUAGUAUUGUAAUCAUCUCGCACAUUGAAAAUUGUUUUUAAUAUUAUUUAUUUAAUGAAUUAAAUUUAUCAUGCCUCAAUUAUUGAAAUACACAUUUUAUUUUUUAAAUAAUUAUUUUUAUGGCCCUAAUAAGAGGUACACAUGCAAAACAAAUGACCAAUGUAUAACUUGAUAUUUAUAGUAAAUACUAUUUUAUGUAAUUCUGUGAAAUGUGAAACAUAUUUUAGCUAAAAUUAUUUUUAUACAAAUAGUUGUUACUGUAACAUUAUUUGUUUUUUUUUUGUUUUUCUUUAGUUCCACACAAGAUCCAAAGUCUCAAUUUCAUUACAGCAAUAUUACAAUAUAAGAGUUUAAAUACAUAAACCUAAUGAACUGAAAUAAACAUAGUAGCACAACAUUAUAUUCACUAUUUCGCAAUCAAACUUUAUUUGCUAUUAUUAUUAGCUAUUAUUAAAAUUUACUGUAAUAUUAUUGAUAAUUAUUUUCAUAAUAUUAUAAGUUCAUUAUUAAUAAGUGUGUAUCAUUGUUAAAUUACAUACUUAAUAUCAUGUAUGUAAUAAAUUUAAUAAUACAUGAUAAUACAAUAUGUUUAAUUAAGUUGAUCUGUUAAAAAUUUAAAAUUUAAUCAAUGAC